AUCCUCUCAGGCCUUUUGGCUAAGAUCAAGUGUAGUAUCUGUUCUUUAUAGUUUAACAACUAUAAUGUGGAUUCCGAUCCACUCGUUGUUAAUCUAAUUUUUUACGCCCGGUCCUUUUGCUCUGGCUUGCCAUCAAGAGGACCACAGGUGUCCGCGGCCUGACACUGUCAGCUGUGUGACGCCGACCCAAU
rfam:Lichtheimia corymbifera JMRC:FST:9682, FST 9682, WGS project CBTN01000000 data, contig: SCAF00065